rnacentral:rRNA from 1 species
AGAGUUUGAUCCUGGCUCAGAACGAACGCUGGCGGCAGUAACACAUGCAAGUCGAACGCAUCCUUCGGGGUGAGUGGCAGACGGGUGAGUAACGCGUGGGAACGUGCCCUUCAGUUCGGAAUAACCCAGGGAAACUUGGGCUAAUACCGGAUACGUGCGAGAGCAGAAAGAUUUAUCGCUGAAGGAUCGGCCCGCGUCUGAUUAGCUAGUUGGUGAGGUAAUGGCUCACCAAGGCGACGAUCAGUAGCUGGUCUGAGAGGAUGAUCAGCCACAUUGGGACUGAGACACGGCCCAAACUCCUACGGGAGGCAGCAGUGGGGAAUAUUGGACAAUGGGCGCAAGCCUGAUCCAGCCAUGCCGCGUGAGUGAUGAAGGCCUUAGGGUUGUAAAGCUCUUUCGUCCGGGACGAUAAUGACGGUACCGGAAGAAGAAGCCCCGGCUAACUUCGUGCCAGCAGCCGCGGUAAUACGAAGGGGGCUAGCGUUGUUCGGAAUCACUGGGCGUAAAGGGCGCGUAGGCGGCUUGAUAAGUCGGGGGUGAAAGCCUGUGGCUCAACCACAGAAUUGCCUUCGAUACUGUCUGGCUUGAGACCGGAAGAGGUAAGUGGAACUGCGAGUGUAGAGGUGAAAUUCGUAGAUAUUCGCAAGAACACCAGUGGCGAAGGCGGCUUACUGGUCCGGUUCUGACGCUGAGGCGCGAAAGCGUGGGGAGCAAACAGGAUUAGAUACCCUAGUAGUCC